rnacentral:tRNA from 2 species
GCGACACUGGCUCAGUUGGUAGAGCGCAACCUUGCCAAGGUUGAGGUCACGAGUUCGAACCUCGUGUGUCGCUCCA